CACAGUUUCUUACACUGAGAAGUUUUAACGAAGCAGCGACUUGGGGAUCACCCACGUCGUAGCAGCGGGCCAACCUACUCGUGGAUCAAUGUCCGUUUGGACCGUUGACGGUCGUCCUGUAAUCAGACAGAGGACCCUCAGUGGAGCGGAGGCAGAAGGUGUUAAAGUAGAACUCCAGGGCUCAGCGUGUCCUCAGGACUGAAUACCAAAAGUGGACGGUGGAACUUUGUGCUGGCGUGGAAGGACUGCUAAACAGCCUGCUCCUUUGGGGACAUGCCACUGUGAGCUUUGCAGAUUUCAUGUCGUGGCAUUUGCCUUAUCAAUGCACAUUGACAGAUGCACAGAAGAUUGGAGUUUUGUGCCGUACAGCUUGUAGACCUGCUGUUUUGUGAUCUCACAUUGUCACAGCUUGUCUGGAGUCCUCUUAUGAACCUUAUGCUGAAUUUCAUUUCCGUCACCCCUGAUUUUAAACGUCAGUUGCUUCAAGGUCACAAAAGGCUUACACGUUUUUCACCUCUGGUAAAUAUGUGGAAAAAAAGCUCUAAAAUAAGUUAAUUUGGUAGCAUGAGCUCCUCUUUAAAAAUAGAGAAAAAUCCAACCUGAAUUCGAAUCCAGCAGGAAACAAAAAGAUCUGACAUUAAUAAGGAACUUUUUCUUUUGUUUGUGUAUUUUGAAACAGAAACACUGGUUGUUGGUGCCUCUACAAUAAAUACUCAGUAAAUUAUCAUUUUGCAAGGACAGCAUUAACAUUUCACAAAGUUGGAGCAAAAAAAAAAGAAAAUCUCUUCUGUAUCAACACAAACUAUAGGGGUAGACUUGGGAUUUAGCCUAACAUUUACAAUGACUACAAAUAUGAACAAACCCAAAAAGACGUAACUAACGAAAGUUAUCUCAUUUGGUUUGAUUCCAGAUUCAAACAUGACCAGCAUAUAUUUUCUAGCAAUCAAUCAAGUUCAGGAUGGAAUGAACCAGAGCUGCUUCUUGCUUCAGUACCGACACACGUUUCUAGAAAUCUUCUGUCUUUCUACCUUUGUAUGUUCAGUUUUAAGUUGCUCCAUAAAACCCUUUAUCAGUUUUAACCUUUUGCACCCAGCUUGAGACUUUGCAGUUAUCUACACUCCGGAUAUGGAUGCUUAAAGUAUUAAGAGAUUGUAUCCAUGAAAGUGGAGUAAUAACAUGAAAGCAUUUAAUGUUUUCCUGUGUUUUAAACCAGUUCUGACUCCAAGAGCACACAUCUGCCAGGCUUUACAUUCUGUAAAGCUCGAAACUAGUCAUAAAAUGCUAGCAGACGUGGUUUACAUAAACAUAUUUCUCCAAUAGGACUGCCUGUCUGCUUUCCACCUACUAAUGAAAAGUAAAUGAGAUAUUUUCUUUCUAAAUGAAAUAUCAGUCCUAACGUAUUCUGAAACCUUGGAGAUCAAUGAAAAAAAAAAAGCAUUUAGCGUAGUGUGGAGAUAAGUUUCAAAAUGCAUUAUCUCCUACAAAGCUUCCUUAAUUUGCAUAGAGAUUAGCCCAAACAUAUUGUUAAUCAUUACAGGGCUUAUGAAUGUUUAAUGGACGAAGUGUAACUUGAAGUUCGAGGGGAAGUAAUAAUUGAUGAAGCUGGGUGCAGAUGGGACAGUGUGGGAUACUUAAUUAAAUUUUGGCGCAGGCAAAUGACCCAUUUCUGAAGUUGCACAGGGAAAACUCAAGUUUUAAGCCUCCAGAAUGUUUCACUUAAACAAGAUUCAAACUCAGUUCAGUCUAAUCUCUCAGAAGAAGUACCAUUUAUUUAUUUAGACUUUCACUUUUAAGAUAUUUAAAAGUAAACGGCAAUACUUUUGCAUCUUUACAGAUUACCCUACAUGUUUUUUUUUUUUUGCUGAACAAUAGGUUCAAAGAAUCCAUUUAUGCAGCCCUUCACAGAUUAUGUAACUGUCUGUGACUAAUCGCUGCUCUCCAACUGUAUAUGAGCAUUUCAGCAAGUUUUUAAACACAUUCCUUUUGUUGAGCUGCUCCGAGGAUUUGGCUGCUAUUUGUCUGGCUGUCUGUUGCGUCUGAGGAUCAGCGCUGAUAUAAAGAGGCUGCCAGCUGCUUUCUUACAGCUCGCUGUCCAGACUGUGAGCCAAAUGCGGGUAAAGCCGUACAGAUGCACAAAUGCUUAAAAAAGAGUAAGAGUGAUAGUGAAGAGCAUCUAUGUCUGGAUAAAAAAAAAACAGACAUGGUGAACUCUAUAAGGACAUUUAUAACAAGCAGGAAUAUGCAUAAAAAGCAGCCCAUU